rnacentral:SRP_RNA from 2 species
UAUUGGUCCUCUCGCAACACUAGCAGGCGAACCUGGUCAGGCCCGGAAGGGAGCAGCCACAGUUUGUGA